AGAGUUUGAUCCUGGCUCAGAGCGAACGCUGGCGGCGUGCUUAACACAUGCAAGUCGAGUGCGCAGCUUUCUCCGCCGCAAGGCGGAGGAAGUCGGCGCACGGCGCACGGGUGCGUAACACGUGGGCAAUCUGCCCUCGGAUGGGGGAUACCCCCGCGAAAGCGGGACUAAUACCGCAUGACAUUCCGGAGACCUUGGUUUCUGGAUUCAAAGCCCGCAAGGGCGUCUGAGGAGGAGCCCGCGCCCGAUUAGCUAGUUGGUGAGGUAACGGCUCACCAAGGCUAUGAUCGGUAGCCGGUCUGAGAGGAUGGCCGGCCACACUGGAACUGAGACACGGUCCAGACUCCUACGGGAGGCAGCAGUGGGGAAUAUUGCGCAAUGGGCGAAAGCCUGACGCAGCGACGCCGCGUGGGGGAUGAAGCUUCUCGGAGUGUAAACCCCUUUCGACCCGGACGAAUGACCCGCAAGGGUUUGACGGUACGGGUAUAAGAAGCCCCGGCUAACUACGUGCCAGCAGCCGCGGUAAUACGUAGGGGGCCAGCGUUGCUCGGAAUUACUGGGCGUAAAGGGUUCGUAGGCGGUGCGGCAAGUUGGGAGUGAAAUCUCUGGGCUUAACCCAGAGGCUGCUUUCAAAACUGCCGUGCUCGAGUGCGAGAGAGGUCAGUGGAAUUGCAGGUGUAGCGGUGAAAUGCGUAGAUAUCUGCAGGAACACCCGUGGCGAAAGCGGCUGACUGGAUCGCAACUGACGCUGAGGAACGAAAGCUAGGGGAGCAAACAGAUUAGAUACCCUGGUAGUCC
rnacentral:rRNA from 1 species